rnacentral:rRNA from 1 species
CCUACGUGAGGCAGCAGUAGGGAAUCUUCCACCAUGGGCGAAAUCCUGAUGGCGCAACGCCGCGUGGGUGAAGAAGGUCUUCGGAUCGUAAAACCCUGUUGUUAGAGACGAAAGUGCGUGCGCUUAACUGUUCACGUUUCGACGGUAUCUAACACGACAGCCCCGGCUAACUACGUGCCAGCAGCCGCUGUACUACGUAGGGGGCACGCGAUAUCCGGAUUUAUUUGGCGUAAAGGGAACGCAGGCGGUCUUUUAAGUCUGAUGUGAAAGCCUUCGGCUUAACCAGAGUAGUGCAUUGGAAACUGGGAGACUUGAGUGCAGAAGAGGAGAGUGGAACUCCAUGUGUAGCGGUGAAAUGCGUAGAUAUAUGGAAGAACACCAGUGGCGAAAGCGGCUCGCUGGGCUGUAACUGACGCUGAGGUUCGAAAGCGUGGGUAGCAAACAGGAUUAGAUACCCGAGUAGUC